rnacentral:tRNA from 1 species
GAGGGAAUAGCUCAGCAGUAGAGUGCAUGCCUAGCAUGCAUGAGGUCCUGGGUUUGAUCUCCAGUACCUCCA